UCUUACAAUAAUUUAAAGUUUAUUAAAUUAAACAUAAUCUAAAAAACAUUUUUUUAAGUUUAAGUAAUUUUAAAAAAAAUUUUUAAUUUAAGUAUUUAAAAAGAACUUAUAACAAUAAUAGAAAAAAUAAAAUCUUGUUCCUUGUGUAUCAUGAUAUAUAGAAAUAAAAAUAUAUUUAACUAUCUCGAAAAAAAAAGAACUAGAAAUCAUUUUGUUUAAUGUAACACAAUUAAAAAAAAAGAAAUCUAGAAAUAAAAAAUUUACAUUUUUUUUGUUAUCUAGUUAUUUUAGAAAAAAAUUUAAUUUUAGCCACAAUAAAAUUUCUUGUGGACCAAGUUUUUAAGGGAUUAUCUUUACAAACAAAUAUAAUAAAAAAAAAAAAAAAAAAAAGGAACUAAAUUAACCAACAAAUUUAAUAAUUUAAAUUUUUUAAAAUAAAUUUUAUAUAAAUUAAGAAUCUAUAAAAUUUUUAAAACAAAAAUAAGAACAAAAAAUUAUAUAAUUAGUAAAUAUAAAAAAAUAAAUUUAGGAACUCGGCAAAUAAAAUUAUCCGAAUGUUUAACAAAAACAUUGUUUCUAGAAAUUAUUAGAAAUAAAACCUGCUCAGUGAAUAUUUAAACAGCCUUAAAAGCUAAGGUAGCAUAAUAAUUUGUCUUUUAAUUAAAGGCUAGAAUGAACGGUAAAACGAGAUAAAAACUUUCUUAACUUAAAAAAUUAAAUUUUUCAUUUAAGUUAAAAGACUUAAAUAAUUUUAAAGGACGACAAGACCCUAUAGAACUUAAAAUCUUCCUUAAGUAAAAAAAAGAAGAAUUUUUAUUGGGGAAAUAAAAAAAUAAAAAUUUUUUUUAAAAAAAUCGAUUUAAAGAUUUAAAGAUCCUUAAAAAAGAAAUAAGAAAAAGUUACCUUAGGGAUAACAGAGUUAAAUUCUUUGAGAGACCAAAUCGAAAAGAAAUAUUGCUACCUCGAUGUUGAAUUAAGAUAAAUAAUACUAGAAGAAAAGUAUAUAAUUAGGUCUGUUCGACCUUAAAAUCUUACAUGAUUUGAGUUAAGACCGGCGCAAGCCAGGUUGGUUUCUAUCCUUAAAAAGACAACUUUUUUUAGUACGAAAGGACCAAAAAAGAUAAAAUUUUUAAACCAAUUUUUAAUUUUAAUAAAUUAAAGGAUUUGAUUGGUCUAA
rnacentral:rRNA from 1 species